UACGGGAGGCAGCAGUGGGGAAUAUUGCACAAUGGGCGCAAGCCUGAUGCAGCCAUGCCGCGUGUAUGAAGAAGGCCUUCGGGUUGUAAAGUACUUUCAGUCGUGAGGAAGGUGUUAAGGUUAAUAACCUUAGCAUUGACGUUAGCGACAGAAGAAGCACCGGCUAACUCCGUGCCAGCAGCCGCGGUAAUACGGGAGGGUGCGAGCGUUAAUCGGAAUUACUGGGCGUAAAGGGCACGCAGGCGGUUAAUUAAGUUGGAUGUGAAAUCCCCGGGCUUAACCUGGGAAUGGCAUUCAAGACUGGUUAGCUAGAGUCUUGUAGAGGGGGUAGGAAUUCCAUGUGUAGCGGUGAAAUGCGUAGAGAUGUGGAGGAAUACCGGUGGCGAAGGCGGCCCCUGGACAAAGACUGACGCUCAUGUGCGAAAGCGUGGGGAGCAAACAGGGAUUAGAUACC
rnacentral:rRNA from 1 species